rnacentral:rRNA from 1 species
UAAUACAGAGGGUGCGAGCGUUAAUCGGAGUUACUGGGCGUAAAGGGCGCGUAGGCGGUGAAAUGAGUGUGAUGUGAAAGCCCUGGGCUUAACCUAGGAAGUGCAUCGCAAACGAUUUUGCUGGAGUAGAUGAGAGGGUGGUGGAAUUUCCGGUGUAGCGGUGAAAUGCGUAGAGAUCGGAAGGAACGUCGAUGGCGAAGGCAGCCACCUGGCAUCAUACUGACGCUGAGGCGCGAAAGCGUGGGGAGCAAACAGGAUUAGAUACCCUGGUAGUCCACGCUGUAAACGAUGAGAACUAGAUGUUGGUAGGGGAACCUAUCGGUAUCGAAGCUAACGCGAUAAGUUCUCCGCCUGGGAAGUACGGCCGCAAGGUUG